rnacentral:rRNA from 1 species
UACGUAGGGGGCAAGCGUUGUCCGGAAUCAUUGGGCGUAAAGAGCGUGUAGGCGGCCAGAAAAGUCCGCUGUGAAAACUCGAGGCUCAACUUCGAGCUGUCGGUGGAAACUUUCUGGCUAGAGUCCGGAAGAGGCGAGUGGAACUCCUGGUGUAGCGGUGGAAUGCGCAGAUAUCAGGAAGAACACCAACGGCGAAGGCAGCUCGCUGGGACGGUACUGACGCUGAGACGCGAAAGCGUGGGGAGCGAACAGG